GAAGAGAGCGUGGGAACUGCAGAAGGCUUACUACAGAAACCCCAGCCUCGAGCGAGGAGAUGCUGCCAUGGGCUUCAGGCUCCUCUGCUGUGUGGCCUUUUGUCUCCUGGGAGCAGGCCCAGUGGAUUCUGGAGUCACACAAACCCCAAAGCACCUGCUCACAGCAAUUGGACAGCGAGUGGCACUGAGAUGCUCCCCUAGGUCUGGAGACCUCUCUGUGUACUGGUACCGACAGAGCCUGGACCAGAGCCUCCAGUUCCUCAUUCAGUAUUAUAAUGGGAAUGAGAGAGAAAAAGGAAACAUUCCUGAAGGAUUCUCAGGACAACAGUUCCCUAACAUGAGCUCUGAAUUAAACCUGAGUUCUUUGGAGCUGGGGGACUCUGCUUUGUAUUUCUGUGCCAGCAGCAUAGCACAGCCCUGCGUGAGCAUUGGCCUUCUGUGCAAUAACAUUCCUGUCCCACUCAGGAAGUGACAGUGAGGGGAGUGCUGCCAGCCAGAGGGGCUCAGGCCCUGGAGAGUGGAUAUGCCUUUCCCAGACACUCUCUGGAGCUUCUGUACAUGCCCUGGUUUAAUGCUCAUGGAAACUGUGUAAGUUAAGUAUUAUUUUACCUGUUUACAUAUCUGAGGAACAGCAGAUGUCCUGGGGCUCAUAUUUAAUAGCUAGCUAAAGUCUGCUCUUUCCAUACCUCUGCACUGUCCCCCCACACUCCUUAGAUCUGUCCUUUGGCCUGGUGUCCCCUUUCAUGUCCCCAUGAGCAGAAUAUGAAGGUCAUGCAUUAUGCUGUGAGCAUUAUAACUUCUCCCCUGACAAGUCCAAUGAACACGUGAUUCCCAGGCAAAACAUAUCCAUUUAUUCUUUAUUGUGAUUUUAAAAGGCGGGGGAGCAGUUUUCUGCACUGUAGCCAUCCUAUGGGCAAGGCUGUGUGAUCUCUUUUAUGGAGACUGUAUGAGGAGGGAGCUUUCCUAGGUUCACAACAAAGAGCGUUAAAUGGUUUUUAUGGGAAGUGUAGUCUUCCUGUGCCUGAUGCAAUCUACUGUCAGGGAAAGUACAUGAAAAAUUGUUAUGCAUUAGUUAAUAUUUUUUUUUGAAACAGAGUCUCGCUCUGUCACCCAGGCUGGAGUGCAAUGGUGCGAUCUUGGCUCACUGCCACCUCCACCUCCUGAGUUCAAGCAAUCCUCCUGCCUCAAGCUCCUGAGAGCAGGGACUACAGGUGCAUACCACCAUGCCCAGCUAAAGUUUGUAUUUUUAGUAGAGAUGGUGUUUUACCAUGUUGGCCAGUCUUGCAGAGAUUUUAGAGAGGUAAGUUUAAAAAGAGUCAUAUAAAGUGUAGGUUCAAGAAAUCUUAGGACCCUAUACAUUCUCUGCCAAAUCUCCAAUCUAGCAGUUACUUACUCUGUGAAAUUCUGGUAACAAAGGCAGACACAUAUUACUUUUGCCUGAUUCAACUACGUUUCAGACACAGUCAUCUAAAAGUCAAAUAUGGUAGUCUGAUAGUUCAUUAGGUAAAAUUAAGAUAAAGAAUCGCCAAUUAAGGAAAUAUGACAAUGUUACCCCUUAUGAACUUCCUGCUUGAUAACUGAGUCCGACAUGCAUGAAGGUGUGGUGCUCCCAGAAAGAUACGGCUUCACUGUGAUUGGCCAUCACGCAAGAGAGCUUAUAGAAGAAGGCACAGCCUUAUUGGAAAGAACACCAUAGAGAAGCCUCUAGUGCUUCCAUCACAUCCUCUCCUCCCAUCUCUGAUUUCAGCCUUGCUGCCAUGUUCCCAUUUCACCUCUUGCUGACAGUGCCCCUCCACAGUGCCUCCUUGAAAUGUUGCUGCUUCCUACUCUGGGGCUUUCUCUGAUAUUAUCUGAGACCACUUGGGCUGUACUCAAAGACAGCCAGAGAUCCUGAUGCUCCUGGUGGAACUGGACAGGGGAACAAAAGCUCCAACCUGCCCACUCAUGCAGGAACUCCAGAGAGCAUCUUGUGUGCUCUUGGAGGUCCCAAUGGAUUCCAUCUCCUCUUGCCCCAGCACAACACAAUAUUGGUCUUUUGUCCUGGUUUAUUCAUUCCUUAUUUUGUUUUCCUGCUCUCUUACUUUUUCUUGGAAUCAUUUCCCAAAUAAGCUACAUGCACCCAAGCCUCCCUGUCACAGACUUUGUCUUCAGAGACGGCCUGAUCUGUGGCAGUGAUGGAAUGAAGCAACCAUCCAAAGACCCUUCCUUUUGAAGGAGACCACUGUUUUUCUUUUAUACAUAUGGUUACUGAUUCGUUUAAAAAGUCUUACGAUGAUGUAUAUAAACUAAUCUUUUCCAGGUUCAUUUGGAUUCAUCAGACAUUCCCAGCAUUCUCAGGAUGGCUCUCUGCUCCCUUAAAACUUUGAACCUAUUUUGAACUGAAUGAACUUGGAUUCUGUUUACAGCAGUAAAAUCUGCCUGGACUCAGAUAAUCAUUCAUUCCUUUCUUCAUUCAGUCAACAAACAUUUAAUGGGUUAUAGGUGAAGAGUAGAUUCAAGUUUUGUGGGGCACAAAGCUGAUAUAUUUUAGGUAGCUCUUUGCAAAAGAGAAUGCAAAAUUGCAAAGUGUUGUAAAGAUCUGUGCAAGGGAGAUGCCCUGAGGUUAUUCUUCAUUGGCUUUAUGUUAACUACAUAGGUACUGUCCAGGUACUGGGGAAACACCAGUGCAAAAAACAGACAAAGCUUCAAGUUGAGGUAGACAAUUUUAACAUGUAAUUAUUAUAAUUUAUUAUACUAAAUAAUAAAUUAACUUAAAAGUAGAAGGAUAUAUUUACCUGAUAGGUGCUUAUCUCCCCAGAGAAGAUAGAGUGUUGUUGAGAGCACUGACAUUCUUGGUAGAUCACACCUGAUUCAGGGAAUGAUCCUUAAAGCUCUGGAAAUCUAUGUGCCCUCCCUUGCAAAAUGAAGGUCUUGAUCUGAAAAGCCUUUUUUGUUGUUGUUCCUGCCCUGGCUCCACCAUGAGGACUGGCUCCUUUGCUGUGUGACUUUUGGUCCCCCAGGACCAGGUGAGUUCUGGGCAUAGAUGGGAACGUCCUUCCUGGGCUUGCCAGGCCCCAGCCACGGCCUCCCUUGGGGCUACUCAUGGGUCUCCUCCCCGUCUCCACUUCUGAUUCUGUGUCCUUUCCCACUGGAGUAUGAUUGUGGGAAUUACCCAACCAGGUUACAUCAAGAUGUGCAAUAGAUGAUCUAUUGUAUCUGAAAUAACUAUUGCAGUGCUAUUGACUAGAUGUGAGUUUUGCACCAUAGCACAUUUAUGAAUCCAUCAACCUUCUCCCAUUAGGUGAGCACAAGAUCUUCUGGAUAGAAACAGAGCAUAUCCCUGUGACCCUAGAGACUCCAGAUAGGUGCAGUUACUGGUGAAUAUUUCAUCCACAUUCCUAAUGAGCCUCCUCUUUUCUUCGUAGUAAGUACAGUCACUCAGGAGAUUUAGGUGCAGUGUUUGUGGCUUCACCUGAAGCAAAGGGAAAAAUCCCAUGAGAACACAUAGCAGCCUGGGCUCAGACAGUGAGGCUCCUAUCAGGUAUAAUGAGGUGCUACAGUAAGAAACAAGUCUUCAAAUGGUAGUGACCCUGAACCUGAAACUUGGAAACCUUUCUGGAUGUCAGGUGACCCUUUUAACGAAGGGUAUCCCUGUAGGCUGAAUACGAGUAUCCAGAGGUUAAACAAAGAGGAAAAUAAUUCAACUUGGAGUUGAAUUUCGGGCAGGGAAGUCAUAAAAGACACCAGGACUGCUAUGACAAUGUUCUUCAGACUACAGAAACAUUCACAAAACUGAAAGUAGUAUUCAAAUAAAGAAUUUCUCAUGAUAGAAAUAAAUAUACAUAGAAGAACAAAUUCCCCUACUAAAAUCAUGGAAAGAGCUCAUGAGUUUAUAAGAUUUCUUUCAAAACAGACCUAAAAAUUAUUCAACUCUAUUAUACAUGAUUUGUUCUGUGAGGAGAAGGGGCGUGACGGGUUAGCCCUGCAGUUCACCCACUUAGCAGGGCCAGUGACAUCAUCCAGUCACUGAGAUCCCAACUUCAAUUUGCCCACAGCAGGGCUGGAAGACACAAGAUCCUGCCCUGGAGCUGAAAUGGGCACCAGGCUCUUCUUCUAUGUGGCCCUUUGUCUGCUGUGGGCAGGUGAGGGCUGGUCACAGGAGGGCCUCCUUCCCUGGAAUUCCCAAGGCUUCCAUGCAAGCUUUUCUGUUGGGAUGACAA